rnacentral:misc_RNA from 1 species
GAUGAAGAACGUAGCGAAAUGCGAUACGUAAUGUGAAUUGCAGAAUUCAGUGAAUCAUCGAAUCUUUGAACGCAUAUUGCGCUCUCUGGUAUUCCGGAGAGCAUGCUUGUUUGAGUAUCAGUAAACACCUCAACUUCCAUAUCUUUUUUGAAAUGGGAGUUGGACUUGAGUGAUCCCAACGCUUUUCCUCACCGAAAAGUGGCGGGUUACUUGAAAUGCAGGUGCAGCUGGACUUUUCUCUGAGCUAUAAGCAUAUCUAUUUAGUCUGCCUAAAAAACAGAUUAUUACCUUUGCUGCAGCUAACAUAAAGGAGAUUAGUUCUUGUGCUGACUGAUGCAGGAUUCACAAAGACGGCUUCGGCCGACUUUGUAAACUCGAUCUCAAAUCAAGUAAGACUACCCGCUGCACUUAAGCAUAUCAAUAAGCGGAGGA